rnacentral:misc_RNA from 1 species
GAUGAAGAACGUAGCGAAAUGCGAUAAGUAAUGUGAAUUGCAGAAUUCAGUGAAUCAUCGAAUCUUUGAACGCACAUUGCGCCCGCCAGUAUUCUGGCGGGCAUGCCUGUCUGAGCGUCAUUUCAACCCUCAUGCCCCUAGGGCGUGGUGUUGGGGAUCGGCCAAAGCCCGCGAGGGACGGCCGGCCCCUAAAUCUAGUGGCGGACCCGUCGUGGCCUCCUCUGCGAAGUAGUGAUAUUCCGCAUCGGAGAGCGAUGAGCCCCUGCCGUUAAACCCCCAACUUACCAAGGUUGACCUCAGAUCAGGUAGGAAUACCCACUGAACUUAAGCAUAUCAAUAAGCGGAGGA